rnacentral:tRNA from 2 species
GGGCCUUUAGCUCAGUUGGUAGAGCUACGGACUUUUAAUCCGCAGGUCGCGGGUUCGAGCCCCGCAGGGCCCAC